rnacentral:rRNA from 1 species
GUGUCAGCAGCCGCGGUAAAACGUAGGAGGCGAGCGUUAUCCGGAUUUACUGGGUGUAAAGCGCAUGCAGGCGGUUGGCGAAGUUGGAUGUGAAAGCUCCUGGCUUAACUGGGAGAGGUCGUUCAAAACUGGCCGACUCGAGGAUGGUAAGGGAAAGCGGAAUUCCGGGUGUAGUGGUGAAAUGCGUAGAUAUCCGGAGGAACACCAGUGGCGAAGGCGGCUUUCUGGACCAUGACUGACGCUCAGAUGCGAAAGCUAGGGUAGCAAACGGGAUUAGAAACCCUUGUAGUCC